rnacentral:lncRNA from 1 species
UUUUUUUUAAAUUAUGAAUUGGGCUAGGGGAAUGGCUGUAGCACAGCCCAGUCCCCACCAAGAUCCACCAAUGUGGACCGGGCUUUAGAGAAGGGUAUAGAGGGGAAGUCGAAGUGGGGACGGUAGUGUCCAAUCUAGUGUAAUGAACAUAUCCUAAAAUUUUAUGUUUCGAUUUGCAGGUUUGUUCGUAGCUACAUUGCUCGACGAAUUCAAUUGACAUGAAAGGAUGUCGAGUCUCCGAUUUGAUUUCCUUGUGUUCUUCAUCCCUCAGUCCUUUUCUUGAUUGGAAUAGUUAUUGUUUGUCUUUGUUAAACACCAAUUUAUUCUGUGAAAUUGUCAAAUUCAUGUGUAUCUUUUAAUAUAUUGUAAACAAGGAAGUAAUGAGAGUUGUUUUAAUUAUUUUCACAAAAUUUAUUCUUGGAUUAUUAGGGUAAUAUAUGUAUACAUAGCAUGCAUCCAUGCAUUGCACACUUCUAGUGCCUAUCCAUAUUCCCCAACUCCAAAUAUAUAAAUAAUAAGGGAGAAUGACUAGUUGCUUCCCAAAUUAUUGCUCUUCGUCAUUUUUAACCUUUAAAAAUGAGCAAGUUAGUACUCAAUUUUAUUGUAAUUGUACAAUUAAUCCGAACAAUGAAAAUCUUCCUAAUGUUCGUUAAAUUGUUAUUUGACCCUUGUAAACACACAUCUCACUUCAAAAUUCUCAAGAUCGAACAAAGUCGAGAUAUAAAAUCUAACCCUAUGAAGUUAGACAUCUUAGACACUUGUAAACUCAAACAUCAUAUUGUAU